rnacentral:rRNA from 1 species
UACGUAGGGUGCAAGCGUUAAUCGGAAUUACUGGGCGUAAAGCGCGCGUAGGCGGCUUUGCAAGUCGGGUGUGAAAUCCCCCAGGCUUAACCUGGGAACUGCAUUCGAGACUGCAUUGCUAGAGUAUGGGAGAGGGAAGUGGAAUUUCCGGUGUAGCGGUGAAAUGCGUAGAUAUCGUUUGGAACGCCAAUGGUGAAAACAGACAGCUGGGAGUGUGCUGACGCUGAUGCGCGAAAGCCAGGGGAGCAAACGGG